rnacentral:rRNA from 1 species
CUACGGGCGGCUGCAGUAGGGAAUAUUGGACAAUGGGUGAAAGCCUGAUCCAGCAACACCGCGUGCACGAUGACGGCCUUCGGGUUGUAAAGUGCUUUUAGAGGAGAUGAGAAAGGACAGUAUCCUCUGAAUAAGCCUCGGCGAACUACGUGCCAGCAGCCGCGGUAAAACGUAGGAGGCAAGCGUUAUCCGGAUUUAUUGGGCGUAAAGCGCGUGCAGGCGGUCUAGCAAGUUGGAUGUGAAAGCUCCCGGCUCAACUGGGAGAGGUCGUUCAAUACUGUUAGACUAGAGAAUAGGAGAGGGAGGUGGAAUUCCGGGUGUAGUGGUGAAAUGCGUAGAUAUCCGGAGGAACACCAGUGGCGAAAGCGGCCUCCUGGACUAUUUCUGACGCUAAGACGCGAAAGCUAGGGUAGCAAACGGGAUUAGAUACCCUGGUAGUC